CAACCCUUAUCCUUUGUUGCCAGCGGUCCGGCCGGGAACUCAAAGGAGACUGCCAGUGAUAAACUGGAGGAAGGUGGGGAUGACGUCAAGUCAUCAUGGCCCUUACGACCAGGGCUACACACGUGCUACAAUGGCGCAUACAAAGAGAAGCGACCUCGCGAGAGCAAGCGGACCUCAUAAAGUGCGUCGUAGUCCGGAUUGGAGUCUGCAACUCGACUCCAUGAAGUCGGAAUCGCUAGUAAUCGUGGAUCAGAAUGCCACGGUGAAUACGUUCCCGGGCCUUGUACACACCGCCCGUCACACCAUGGGAGUGGGUUGCAAAAGAAGUAGGUAGCUUAACCUUCGGGAGGGCGCUUACCACUUUGUGAUUCAUGACUGGGGUGAAGUCGUAACAAGGUAACCGUAGGGGAACCUGCGGUUGGAUCACCUCCUUACCUUAAAGAAGC
rnacentral:rRNA from 3 species